rnacentral:rRNA from 1 species
CGAAUGGCUCAUUAUAUAAGUUAUCGUUUAUUUGAUAGUGCCUUACUACUUGGAUAACCGUGGUAAUUCUAGAGCUAAUACAUGCUAAAAGACCCGACUUUGGAAGGGUUGUAUUUAUUAGAUUAAAAACCAAUGCCCUCUGGGCUCACUGGUGAAUCAUGAUAACUUCGCGAAUCGCAUGGCCUUGUGCCGGCGAUGGCUCAUUCAAAUUUCUUCCCUAUCAACUUUCGAUGUUUGGGUAGUGGCCAAACAUGGUUGCAACGGGUAACGGAGGGUUAGGGCUCGACCCCGGAGAAGGAGCCUGAGAAACGGCUACUACAUCCAAGGAAGGCAGCAGGCGCGCAAAUUACCCAAUCCCGAUUCGGGGAGGUAGUGACAAUAAAUACUGAUACAGGGCUCUUUUGGGUCUUGUAAUUGGAAUGAGUACAAUUUAAAUCCCUUAACGAGGAACAAUUAGAGGGCAAGUCUGGUGCCAGCAGCCGCGGUAAUUCCAGCUCUAAUAGCGUAUAUUAAAGUUGUUGUGGUUAAAAAGCUCGUAGUUGAACCUUGGGCCUGGCUGGCGGGUCCGCCUCACCGCGUGUACUUCGCCGGCCGGGCCUUUCCCUCUGUGGAACCCUAUGCCCUUCACUGGGUGUGGUGGGGAAACAGGACUUUUACUUUGAAAAAAUUAGAGUGCUCCAGGCAGGCCUAUGCUCGAAUAUAUUAGCAUGGAAUAAUAAAAUAGGACGUGUGGUUCUAUUUUGUUGGUUUCUAGGACCGCCGUAAUGAUUAAUAGGGACAGCCGGGGGCAUCAGUAUUCAAUUGUCAGAGGUGAAAUUCUUGGAUUUAUUGAAGACUAACUACUGCGAAAGCAUUUGCCAAGAAUGUUUUCAUUAAUCAGGAACGAAAGUUAGGGGAUCGAAGACGAUCAGAUACCGUCGUAGUCUUAACCAUAAACUAUGCCGACUAGGGAUCGGACGAUGUUAUUACUUGACUCGUUCGGCACCUUACGAGAAAUCAAAGUGCUGGGC